rnacentral:rRNA from 1 species
CAGUCGCCGCGGGAAUACGUAGGUGGCAAGCGUUAUCCGGAAUUAUUGGGCGUAAAGCGCGCGUAGGCGGUUUUUUAAGUCUGAUGUGAAAGCCCACGGCUCAACCGUGGAGGGUCAUUGGAAACUGGAAAACUUGAGUGCAGAAGAGGAAAGUGGAAUUCCAUGUGUAGCGGUGAAAUGCGCAGAGAUAUGGAGGAACACCAGUGGCGAAGGCGACUUUCUGGUCUGUAACUGACGCUGAUGUGCGAAAGCGUGGGGAUCAAACAGGAUUAGAUACCCCUGUAGUCCCUGUCUCUAUACA